rnacentral:lncRNA from 1 species
AUGCUUUUCGGAUUAAAAAAUGCACCAGCUGUCUUCCAAAGAAAAAUAGACAUAAUAUUUAGCCGAUAUAAAUAAUUUGACUUAGUAUAGUAUAUAUUGAUGAUAUUCUCGUUUUUAGUAAAGAUCUUAGAGAACACUUAGGACAUUUGUGACACCCCAAUAGUCCCACAUCGGAUGGGAAUGAGAUUGUCAUUGGGUUUAUAAGAGACUUAGACACUUAUAAUAAUAACUGGGCUUAAAUAUUUUGGUCCGGUGUUUGUGGUCAACGAGUUAUUGUUGCUAGUGUCAAAGCCAGUUCACCAGCCGAAAGUGUGAGAUGAUGUAAUAUCUGAUGUAAAAUUCAAAAUUUCCUAAUUUUCUCUAUUAUUAAAUUUUAUUAUUUCC